UACGUAGGGGGCGAGCGUUGUCCGGAAUCAUUGGGCGUAAAGCGCGUGUAGGCGGCCCGGUAAGUCCGCUGUGAAAGUCCAGGGCUCAACCCUGGGAUGCCGGUGGAUACUGUCGGGCUCGAGUCCGGAAGAGGCGAGUGGAAUUCCUGGUGUAGCGGUGAAAUGCGUAGAUAUCGAGAGGAACACCUGCGGCGAAGGCGGGUUGCUGGGCUGACACUGACGCUGAUUGUGCGAAAGCUAGGGGAGCGAACGGG
rnacentral:rRNA from 1 species